rnacentral:rRNA from 1 species
CCUACGGGUGGCUGCAGUGGGGAAUAUUGGACAAUGGGGGCAACCCUGAUCCAGCCAUGCCGCGUGUGUGAAGAAGGCCCUCGGGUUGUAAAGCACUUUCAGUGAGGAAGAACGCCUGGUGGUUAAUACCCAUCAGGAAAGACAUCACUCACAGAAGAAGCACCGGCUAACUCCGUGCCAGCAGCCGCGGUAAUACGGAGGGUGCGAGCGUUAAUCGGAAUUACUGGGCAUAAAGCGCGCGUAGGUGGCUUGAUAAGCCGGUUGUGAAAGCCCCGGGCUCAACCUGGGAACGGCAUCCGGAACUGUCAAGCUAGAGUGCAGGAGAGGAAGGUAGAAUUCCCGGUGUAGCGGUGAAAUGCGUAGAGAUCGGGAGGAAUACCAGUGGCGAAGGCGGCCUUCUGGACUGACACUGACACUGAGGUGCGAAAGCGUGGGUAGCAAACAGGAUUAGAUACCCGAGUAGUC